rnacentral:rRNA from 1 species
GAUGAACGCUGGCGGCGUGCCUAAUACAUGCAAGUCGAGCGAACGGACGAGAAGCUUGCUUCUCUGAUGUUAGCGGCGGACGGGUGAGUAACACGUGGAUAACCUACCAACAAGACUGGGAUAACUUCGGGAAACCGGAGCUAAUACCGGAUAAUAUUUUGAACCGCAUGGUUCAAAAGUGAAAGACGGUCUUGCUGUCACUUAUAGAUGGAUCCGCGCUGCAUUAGCUAGUUGGUAAGGUAACGGCUUACCAAGGCAACGAUGCAUAGCCGACCUGAGAGGGUGAUCGGCCACACUGGAACUGAGACACGGUCCAGACUCCUACGGGAGGCAGCAGUAGGGAAUCUUCCGCAAUGGGCGAAAGCCUGACGGAGCAACGCCGCGUGAGUGAUGAAGGUCUUCGGAUCGUAAAACUCUGUUAUUAGGGAAGAACAUAUGUGUAAGUAACUGUGCACAUCUUGACGGUACCUAAUCAGAAAGCCACGGCUAACUACGUG